GCUUGGAUUACGUGAACUUUCUUGUAAGAGUGCAUCCACCAGUAAGACAGAAUGAAAAUCAAGCUGAAAAAUGCAGCUCACUUUAUAUCGAAUUCAUAUUACCUCGUCUUUGGUUCUUAGCGUCAUUUCUCUUACUCUGCAUUCUGGUGUGACAUCACGAUGCUACAUCAUUCUUGGAAGACUGUGGGAAACAAAUAUAGAUGGGCUCUUUAUAUAGGAAGGCCUAAGGACUAAAGAUGUAAACAUCUUCAAACAUUUUUUUUUUCCUAAAUCUUCCCUCUGUGAUAUUGAAGAAUCAUAAAGUAUCAUCACCAAACACAGUUUUGUAUCUGGAAAAUGUAUUAAAAUCACCUAUGUAACCUGCAUGAAAGGUAAAUAAAUUUGUCUUACAGAAUGCAUGAACUAUA